rnacentral:rRNA from 1 species
UACGAACUGUGCAAACGUUAUUCAGAAUCACUGGGCUUAAAGGGUGCGUAGGCGGCUUAUCAAGUCGGGUGUGAAAUCCCUCGGCCUAACCGAGGAACUGCGCCCGAUACUGCGAUGCUUGAGGACCAGAGGGGUGCAUGGAAUUUCCGGUGGAGCGGUGAAAUGCGUUGAUAUCGGAAGGAACUCCGGCGGCGAAAGCGAUGCACUGGCUGGUUUCUGACGCUGAGGUGCGAAAGCCAGGGGAGCAAACGGG